AUUAGAUACCCCAAUAGUCAAAGCAGAAAAUGAUGAAUGUCAUAGAUUAGAUAAACAAUUUAUUCUAUAAAUGAAAGUGUAAGCAUUCCACCUCAAGAGUAAUUUGGCAACAUUGGAACUGAAAUCAUUAGACCGUUUCUGAAACCAGUAGUGAAGUAUGUUGUUUAAUUUGAUGAUACGCAAAAAACCUUACCACAAUUUGAAUAUUUAUAUAUAUCUUUAUUGAUUUUUACUAAUAUAUUUGUAAAUAAUCAAAAUGAUGCUUAUACCCCAUUUGUGAAAUUAAGCAUCAAAAAAGAUAAUAUAUUUACAAGCGUUGCACGGCUGUCUUCAGUUAAUGUCGUGAGAUUUUGGUUAGUUCCAUUAAAUUAACGUAAACCCUUACUUUAUUUUUAUAUAAAGUAGUUCUCCGCUAUAUUGGAUAUGAUAACAGGGACUAAGACAAG
rnacentral:rRNA from 1 species